rnacentral:rRNA from 1 species
AUUGAACGCUGGCGGCAGGCCUAACACAUGCAAGUCGAGCGGAUGAAGGGAGCUUGCUCCUGGAUUCAGCGGCGGACGGGUGAGUAAUGCCUAGGAAUCUGCCUGGUAUUGGGGGAUAACGUCCGUAAACGGGCGCUAAUACCGCAUACGUCCUGAGGGAGAAAGUGGGGGAUCUUCGGACCUCACGCUAUCAGAUGAGCCUAGGUCGGAUUAGCUAGUUGGUGGGGUAAAGGCCUACCAAGGCGACGAUCCGUAACUGGUCUGAGAGGAUGAUCAGUCACACUGGAACUGAGACACGGUCCAGACUCCUACGGGAGGCAGCAGUGGGGAAUAUUGGACAAUGGGCGAAAGCCUGAUCCAGCAAUGCCGCGUGUGUGAAGAAGGUCUUCGGAUUGUAAAGCACUUUAAGUUGGGAGGAAGGGCAGUAAGUUAAUACCUUGCUGUUUUGACGUUACCAACAGAAUAAGCACCGGCUAACUUCGUG